rnacentral:lncRNA from 12 species
UUGUUCGGCAGCUCUUUGUUCUAUAAAGGUCUGCGCCAACCAAGGACAGUCCAACAACCUCAGGAUCUGGACCUGAGACUGGACCAGCUAGCACGCAGCCAGCAGUUCUGACCCAUCGGCUGAGACCUGGACACACCAAUUGUGCAAGCCUUCCUGCUCCCGAAGAAUUACAAUGAAC